rnacentral:rRNA from 1 species
AUUGAACGCUGGCGGCACGCCUUACACAUGCAAGUCGAGCGGUAACAGGUCUUCGGAUGCUGACGAGUGGCGAACGGGUGAGUAAUACAUCGGAACGUGCCUAGUAGUGGGGGAUAACUACUCGAAAGAGUGGCUAAUACCGCAUGAGAUCUACGGAUGAAAGCAGGGGAUCGCAAGACCUUGUGCUACUAGAGCGGCCGAUGGCAGAUUAGGUAGUUGGUGGGAUAAAAGCUUACCAAGCCGACGAUCUGUAGCUGGUCUGAGAGGACGAUCAGCCACACUGGGACUGAGACACGGCCCAGACUCCUACGGGAGGCAGCAGUGGGGAAUUUUGGACAAUGGGCGCAAGCCUGAUCCAGCAAUGCCGCGUGCAGGAUGAAGGCCUUCGGGUUGUAAACUGCUUUUGUACGGAACGAAAAGCCCUGGGUUAAUACCCUGGGGUCAUGACGGUACCGUAAGAAUAAGCACCGGCUAACUACGUGCCAGCCGCCGCCGUAA